rnacentral:rRNA from 1 species
UGCAAGUCGAACGCUUUGUGGUCCAACUGAUUUGAAGAGCUUGCUCAGAUAUGACGAUGGACAUUGCAAAGAGUGGCGAACGGGUGAGUAACACGUGGGAAACCUACCUCUUAGCAGGGGAUAACACUUGGAAACAAGUGCUAAUACCGUAUAACACUAAUAACCGCAUGGUUAUUAGUUAAAAGAUGGUCUUGCUAUCACUAAGAGAUGGUCCCGCGGUGUAUUAGCUAGUUGGUAAGGUAAUGGCUUACCAAGGCAAUGAUACAUAGCCGAGUUGAGAGACUGAUCGGCCACAAUGGGACUGAGACACGGCCCAUACUCCUACGGGAGGCAGCAGUAGGGAAUCUUCCACAAUGGACGAAAGUCUGAUGGAGCAACGCCGCGUGUGUGAUGAAGGGUUUCGGCUCGUAAAACACUGUUGUAAGAGAAGAAUGACAUUGAGAGUAACUGUUCAGUGUGUGACGGUAUCUUACCAGAAAGGAACGGCUAAAUACGUGCCAGCAGCCGCGGUAAUACGUAUGUUCCAAGCGUUAUCCGGAUUUAUUGGGCGUAAAGCGAGCGCAGACGGUUAUUUAAGUCCGAAGUGAAAGCCCACAGCUUAACUGUGGAAGUGCUUUGGAAACUGGAUAACUUGAGUGCAGUAGAGGAGAGUGGAACUCCAUGUGUAGCGGUGAAAUGCGUAGAUAUAUGGAAGAACACCAGUGGCGAAGGCGGCUCUCUGGACUGUAACUGACGUUGAGGCUCGAAAGUGUGGGUAGCAAACAG